rnacentral:rRNA from 1 species
AACGAACGCUGGCGGCAUGCCUAACACAUGCAAGUCGAACGAAGCCUUCGGGCUUAGUGGCGCACGGGUGCGUAACGCGUGAGAAUCUGCCUCUUGCUUCGGGAUAACAGUUAGAAAUGACUGCUAAUACCGGAUGCUGUCUUCGGACCAAAGAUUUAUCGGCAAGAGAUGAGCCUGCGUAGGAUUAGGUAGUUGGUGGGGUAAAGGCCUACCAAGCCGACGAUCCUUAGCUGGUCUGAGAGGAUGAUCAGCCACACUGGGACUGAGACACGGCCCAGACUCCUACGGGAGGCAGCAGUGGGGAAUAUUGGACAAUGGGGGCAACCCUGAUCCAGCAAUGCCGCGUGAGUGAUGAAGGCCUUAGGGUUGUAAAGCUCUUUUACCAGGGAUGAUAAUGACAGUACCUGGAGAAUAAGCUCCGGCUAACUCCGUGCCAGCCGCCGCGGUAACAC